rnacentral:lncRNA from 1 species
UUUUUUUUUUUUUUUUUAUUAUUAUUAGAUGUUUAAAAAACAUUUCCCUAAACACCAGAGGGGAAGUGAUUGCUAGGGGCAGGGCAGAGGAGAGAAGUAAAGAGGGGGAGGGGGAGAGAAAGAACUACAUUUUUUUCAGUUGACAAACAUUUAUUUUUAUCAACCAUCUCAGGAGAUUAGCCUUUCUGUAUUUAUUUCCAAUAAUAGAAUAAUAUGUGUAACUUAGAAAAUAGAUGUUCUUAAAUUCAUAUUACAAAUAAACUUUUAAGAUAACCUUUUGCUUUUAACAUCCUUUGACAAGUUUAUAAAUAUAAAAUAUUAAUAGUAAUACCAGAUAAUGGUGAAUAUACAGACCAAUUUCACUGAUGGAAAUAUAAAUUGGUACAAUCUUGUAGAGUAUAUCAACAACCUUAAAAAUAUGCAUCCCCUUAGUCCAGCAAUGCUACACUGGCAGUAUAUUCUAUGAAAAUAACUUUAAACAUACAGAAAACAUUACUUAAAAUGUGUUCAUAUUAUCUAUUUUCAAAAAAAUAGAGUAAAAAAAAUUAGAUAACUGUCUACCUCUAAGGGUUUCUAUUACAGUAAUGCAUACAAAUAUCACAUUGAACACUUUUGAUGCAAUGUUGGUGAUCUUAAAAAAAAAAGUGACUUCUGAUUUGACUUCUGAGUUUGGCAGUAACGGUACAUUAGAUUUUCUUCAUUAUUACCACCAAAAACAACAAAAAUGCUAAAUAUUCUUUUAAUGAAACUUCAGAUGUAAAAAAUUAGUGAAUCAAAAAGAUUAGUGAAAGAUACAAUUAUUUCUAGAUAAGCUCAUGUGUAGCCCAGUAUUUAUUCUAACGGCCUUUGCCAAAUCCUAGUGAACUUGAGCUUCUGAUAUAAUACAUGCUCAGGGUCACCUAGCAUGAGAGACAGGAAAUAAAGCUGAAGACUCCCCUGAAGAGGAAAAUCUAAUGGGAGCUUCCAAUAUUAAGCUAGGAGCCCAAAGGUCUACAUUCUCAGUGUAAGAGUAAAUGAGAAAAAAAAUCACUAUGCAAUUUUUAAAAAAUAGCAAUAUUGGGGGUAAAUAACUCUUCCUUGAGAAUCUAUAACCACAAGCCAAUUUCCACACAGAUUUAUAGUCAGAAAAACUCAAGGUGAGAAAUAGGAGUUAUUCGAGUCACAGGUUGGUAGUAAUCCCAGGCAACAUCAGAAGCAAAGAUAACUCUUCUCUGGAGAGACUCAACUUCAGACCACUCUUCAGAUAAUUCCUACAAAUGAUGUUCCAAGGAACAUGCUCUUACAGUCAAAUAUCAAAACAUAUUAUGAGGAACCAUAAGCCAGAGACAACUAAAGCACAAUUCCGUGUUGCAAAUAAUUUAGAUGUCAUCAGAGUAUAUAAAGCCAUGUUUCACAUAUCUCAAGAAAUAAGAGAGGCCAAAAAUGUGAAUACAAAACAAAAAUAUUGUAGAAAUCAAUAAAACAGAUGUGAAAAGAACUAAAUAGAAUUUCCAGAAAUAAAAAUAUAAUUGAAAUUUUAAAAAAUCAAUGGAUGGGUUAACUAUUGGAUGUUACUGAGGGGACAAAAUCAGUGGAAUGAAAUACAGAAGGCACUAUAGUGUUAAAUAUGAAGGAAGAUUAGAGACAGGGUAAAGUGAGAAGUUCUAACAGGUCUAAUUGAAGUUUCAGAAGGAAACAAGAGAAUGCAUUAAAAGCAAUAAUUCAAGAGAUGAUAGCCUAAAGUUUCCAGAAGUUUAAAAAAGAAAUAGAUUUGGGGAGUCAAAAAAUUCCAGGGAAUAUAAGUAAAAAAUUCUCCUCUAAAUAUAAAUUCUAGUGAAACUGUCAAACAUUAAAGGCAGUGAUCUGUAAAGCAUCUAGAAAGUAGUCUCUAACAAAGUCAUUGUAAAUAUCCUGAGAGUGAUUUUUCUACAACAAUAAUGAAAUCCAAAAGACAAUGAGAUUUUAAAAUGCUAAGAAAAAAAUAAUUACCAACUUACAAUGGAAUGUGUGCUGAAAUUAUCUUUCAAGAGUAGGAGGGAGAAUAAUAUAUCCAGGCUAAAAGAAAACAUUAUUGAGGUCAAUAGUGAGCUCCAAGUAGAAUAUCAAAUGGAAGACCACAGAUGCAGAAAGGAAGGAUAAGCAAAGAUUUCUGUAAAUACAUAGGUAAAACUAAAAUAUUGACUAUAUAAAAUACCAGCUACUUUGUCAAAUUAAAACUAAAACCAAAUACUAGGCAAUACUAGCCCUAUAACUUGAGAAAAGACUGAUUCUACCUGAAGCAUUCUGAUGUCUUUUUAUUUGAGAAAAGGGUAAAGAUAUUAACAUUAGACAUUUUACAUAUAUCGGGUUAAAGUAUCUGGGAUAACCUCUAAAAGAAAGGACAUAGGAAAUAUAACCUCCAAAGGAAAAGAAGACGAAAUAAAAAAAAAAAAAAGUAAUCACUCAUAAAAAACCUAAUUAGGAACAUCUCUAAUUCAUCAUAUAAUUAUCAUUUCUCCUAGUGUUAAAAACAAUUCAUAUCUAGUUUCUUAGCAAGUUUAAUACAGUUCUGCCAUUUGUAAUCCUUACACUGUAUAUCAGAUCUUCAGAACUUAUUAAAUAUAAGUAUAUAUGUAUCCUUGAACAACAUCUGUCCCAUUCCUUCAGUCUCCAGCCCUUGAUAAUCACUAUUCCACUGUUUUUUGAGUUUUGUUUUUUUUUUUUUUGAGAUUCCACAUCUAAGGAACAUCAUACAGCAUUUGUCAUUCUGACUUAUCUUACUUAGCAUAACAUCAAGUUUCAUCCAUCUUGUCCCAAAUGGCAAGAUUUCCUUUUUUCUCAUGACUGAAUAGUAUUUCAUUGUGGGGGAUGUGUGCGCGCGUGCGUGCAUGUGCGCGUGCGUGAGAGAGAGAGAGAGAGAGAAGCAGAUCUCACAUAUUUAUCCAUUAUCCAUCAAUGGACAUUUAGGUUGUUUCCAUGUCUUGGCUAUUAUGAAUGCUGCAAUAAAUAUGUGAGUUCAUAUAUCUUUUUGGUAACCUGUUUUUCCUUCUUUUAGAUAAAAUCCAGAAAUUCUACUUCUAGGUAUGUAUGGUAGGUUUUUUUUUUUUUUUU